GCUUUCUUCAAAAUAGUCCUUUAUGUUUAAGUGUUAAUUCAAGCACCAUGACUACCCUAGUGAUCUGAAGUGGUCAUGGUGUCUAAAGUCUGUAUGUAUAACUUUUCAGUAUGAGUUUAACCCCUGUACAGCUGUAGGGGGAACUCCACCUCCGGCAACGUCAUUGGUGUGUAAUUAGCCGUCUUGGAACAGAAUUUGGUGUGGAUCGAGUUAGUAUAGUUUAACAUAUUAUUAAGGGAUGCAGACAUAUGCUG